UCGAGAAUCUUUCGCAAUGGGGGAAACCCUGACGCCGCGACGCCGCGUGGAGGAUGAAGGCCUUCGGGUUGUAAACUCCUGUCAGCAGGGGAGAACAAGCUUUUGGUGAAUAAUCAAGAGCUUUGACAGUACCUGCAGAGGAAGCCACGGCUAACUCUGUGCCAGCAGCCGCGGUAAUACAGAGGUGGCAAGCGUUGUUCGGAUGUAUUGGGCGUAAAGGGUCCGUAGGCGGACUGAAAAGUUGGAUGUGAAAUCCCACAGAGUAAAGGUGGAACGGCAGUCAAAACUUUCAGGAUUGAGUGUGAUAGGGGUAAAGGGAAUUCCCGGUGUAAGGGUGAAAUCUGCAGAGAUCGGGAGGAACACCAGUCGCGAAGGCGCUUUACUGGAUCACUACUGACGCUGAGGUACGAAAGCUAGGGGAGCAAACG
rnacentral:rRNA from 1 species